GAUUUGAAUCGGUCGGCGGGCGGAGGAGGCGGGUGGAGGAGGCUGCCGGGCAGAGCGCAGGCCAGGAUCAGCGCAGGCUGUGAGUCCAGGUCAGCCGUCGGGACCUCGGGCUCCGGGUUCGAAGAGCGGCUCCCGGCUGCGGGUGCUUUGCCAGGAGAGCCCUUCCGGACAGAGGAGCCGGGGUCUGGAAGGAGCGGCCGACGCGACGCUCGCCUGCCACGGGGCUCUGGGAGUAAGCCUGUCUGCCUGGCGGGCCUUCAGGUGCGGCGUGAGAGGAAAUGCCUCUUUCAUUUUGGGAACUGGGAAGAUUGUGACUCCUCAGAAGCAUGCCGAAUUACCUCCUAAUCCUUGCACACCAGAUACUUUUAAAUCACCUUUGAACUUUUCCACAGUAACCGUAGAGCAAUUGGGAAUUACACCUGAAAGCUUUGUUAGGAACUCUGCAGGAAAGUCAUCAUCCUACC
rnacentral:lncRNA from 1 species